rnacentral:rRNA from 1 species
ACGGGGGGAGCAAGCGUUGUUCGGAUUUACUGGGCGUAAAGGGCGCGUAGGCGGCCAGCGCAAGUCAGUUGUGAAAUCUCCGGGCUUAACUCGGAAAGGUCAACUGAUACUGCGCGGCUAGAGUGCAGGAGGGGCAACUGGAAUUCUCGGUGUAGCGGUGAAAUGCGUAGAUAUCGAGAGGAACACCUGCGGCGAAGGCGGCGCCCUGGCCCGACACUGACGCUCAGACACGACAGCAUGGGGAGCGAACGGGA